rnacentral:rRNA from 1 species
UACGAAGGGGGCUAGCGUUGUUCGGAAUUACUGGGCGUAAAGCGCACGUAGGCGGCAUUCCAAGUUGGGUGUGAAAGCCCGGGGCUCAACCCCGGAACUGCAUUCAAAACUGUGAGGCUAGAGAUCGGAAGAGGUAAGUGGAAUUCCCAGUGUAGAGGUGAAAUUCGUAGAUAUUGGGAAGAACACCGGUGGCGAAGGCGACUUACUGGUCCGAUACUGACGCUGAGGUACGAAAGCGUGGGGAGCAAACAGG